CCUACGGGAGGCAGCAGUGGGGAAUAUUGCACAAUGGGGGAAACCCUGAUGCAGCGACGCCGCGUGAGUGAAGAAGUAAUUCGUUAUGUAAAGCUCUAUCAGCAGGGAAGAAAAUGACGGUACCUGAGUAAGAAGCCCCGGCUAACUACGUGCCAGCAGCCGCGGUAAUACGUAGGGGGCAAGCGUUAUCCGGAUUUACUGGGUGUAAAGGGAGCGUAGACGGCAGUGCAAGUCUGGAGUGAAAGGCGGGGGCUCAACCCCCGGACUGCUCUGGAAACUGUACGGCUGGAGUGCAGGAGAGGGAAGUGGAUUUCCUAGUGUAGCGGUGAAAUGCGUAGAUAUUAGGAGGAACACCAGUGGCGAAGGCGGCUUACUGGACUGUAACUGACGUUGAGGCUCGAAAGCGUGGGGAGCGAACAGGAUUAGAUACCCCAGUAGUC
rnacentral:rRNA from 1 species